UGUGGAAAAGUGGAUUGAGAAGACAU
rnacentral:piRNA from 1 species